GGAGUAAGUUCUCUUCCUUAACAAAAUAGUUAACUAUGCCUUGCCUCCUUGAAAGCAGUGGUUUUAAUCCUUACUUGUAGUGAAUUGUUCUGUGCAAUUUCUGGCAUUUGCUAGAAACCUAUCAGUAGGAUCCAGCAUCUACAGCAAGGCAACAUACUGUUCAGAUGCUCAAAAAGGACAAAGGGUUUUGCACUAUCCCAGGAUCCUUGUAGUUCCUUUAAACUGAAAGAACUCUGCAUGGAAGCAACAGCUUGCUGAUAUGAGCAAGAGAUUCACCUUUGACUCCUGAUUUCAUUUUCUGCUCUUUUUUUCAGGCAAAAAGGCAAUAUUUUGGUGCUAAGGUAUAAUCAAAUUGUUGCUCUGUUAGAACUUCAGCAUGAGACACAACUCUGAGAAGACCUGGAAAACCUUUGUAAAUGAAAUGAAACACAGAGGAGAAAAUUCAACUUCAGGUUUCUGCUCUCCUUUAACAUUUAACAAGAUGCAAAUUCCUCCUGGAAUCUGACUAUGUUGGUAUGUGCCUUUCAGUAGCAAUUUUAGUUUGAGGAAUGGCUAGAUGUACUUAUAUGCUGAAGUAUGAAAACAAUAUGGUAACCUAAGAUAAAAGGACAUGUUUCUCUUCUUUCCUCUCAUCAUAACACACAUGGCACACUGGGAAAUCUUUUCUUGAAUGUUGCCAAAUCUGGACUGUAUAGUGCAUAUAAUGGCACAUAAAAUUUUAGUCACCUUGAAAAAUACAUAGACUUAAGAAACAUGGAAUGGAAUUUUGAUUUACAGUUAAAACAGGGCCAGUGUCAUGUACAUAGCAUGAAACUUAUAUAAAAAUAUAAAGCCUAUUGAACUAUAUGAUUUACAUUUUAUAGUCUUCUGUACAUAGGAACUUAAAAAGACAGCAAGAACAUAACAAAUUAUCUUAUUUGAUCUAAGUAUUAGAUCAAAUUUUGUUUUUGUUUUCUCUGCAAGAUUUCUAGAUUUACUCAUCUUAGAGUGUCUUCCACUCUGGAUUGCCAUCUUCUUCUUAACUUCGACAUUUAAUCAAAUCAACAGUUACCCGCCUAGGAUGCUGUCAAGUUGAUCUAUGAUGAUGAAGUAAAUUUUUCUCAUAUAUUGUGUGGGAAAAGCUUUAUUCAGGGAAAACUAAAUAAAUUGUGAAGGACAAAAAAUACA
rnacentral:lncRNA from 1 species